UAAGUGAUCGCUUGUAGGAAUUAA
rnacentral:misc_RNA from 1 species